CCAGAAUAGUGAAUAUAAUCUUGUUGCGAGUUCCGGUUUGCUGUUAAUAGUAUUGAAGGACAAAAAAUAUGGAAACCCCAUACGAUACGGAUAUUGCGUACAGUUGUCUUACCAGUGGAAGUCGAAUAUCGUAUUCCGAUGCUAUUUUUGAAUUGAAGAUGGUGACUCCCGGUUCGUUAAGAACAUAUCUGAGUAACCGGAAAUGGAAAUGGAAAUGGUGUUAGCAUAUAUCCACGGGUGCGCGAAGAAGAAUGAAACAAGAGAAUCAAGUUUUACAGUGAGCAUAUAGGAUUUGAAAGAGAGUUGAGUGGAGAGUUGAGUUGACGCAAACGUCAACGGUUAGCGGUCAACGUAAAAGUAAUCUAAUAAACACGCAAAAAUAGACGCCCUUGCACAGAUACGCGCACACUGAUAGGUUCAGGACCGGUCGCCGGAAAUUUGGUAAAAGAAACUAAUGUAGUCAGGCGAAGAUCGUCUUUUUGAUAGCGCAAUCUAAGUAGAACUAAACAAAUCAAAAUAUGGUCGAAAAGAUGUUUCCACCACACUUUAAACUGAAUUUAAUGAACAAUAUUGGCUAUAGCAUAAUAAUUUCUCGUAAUUUGCUUGGCAUUGUAUAUUAAAAUAGAUUAGGGAUUAUUAAGCAAAGAGCUGAGCUAUAAACGUCGCACUGAUGGGAAAUUGUUAGUUGGGAAUGCAUCAUUGAUAACAUUGCUUUGCUUUGACAUCUUGCAAAGGAUUUCAAUUCAAACUAAAACAAAUUUUACUCUGUAGUAUAGGUUUGAAGAGUUUUGAACAUGUGACCUGGAACCCCGGAAAACCCGGAAAAGGUCGAUGAUGGUCGAUGGUUGGCUCAGCGGCACUGGCGUCCACGGCAGGUCGGCAUGUGGAGAGUUGACCGUGGCUGCCGUCUUCCCUCUUUGACGGCAAUCGACAGGCCCAAAAUGACACCGGAGUGAGACUGCCGAGAGGGGCCCUGCUUUAUGAUUAUAAUCCUUUAUGGUUAGGCAUCCAAACUAUACCGAACUCUUGGACAAACGUCCGUCACAUACCACGCCUGAAUCCAAAAAGACCCAUUUUUGAUGGAGAAUCCUUCCUCGAGCCUUAUCAUUGCAUUUUUAGUGGUACAGCGUCCAUUUUACGCAACUUACCGCUCGCUCUCGCUCGCAAUCUAAGCUGUGUUCUGCCAUAUUGACUAGCCACAACUCAAACCUUCAUCUAGAGUAUUCAUUCCAUGGCAUGUCAGAGAAUUUCCAAAUGGGAAGUCCCUAGACCGAGCGGGAAUUGAAUCCAAUACCUGUGUCAGUUUUAGCCAUCAAACCCAACCCCAAGACUAAUUAUAUACGAACUUCAGACCGAUUACUAUUCCCAGACAUGCCAAGAAAACUUCCAGUCCGAAAAAAUCCUCAACCGGACAGGAAUUGUACACAACACCUAUGUAAGUAUUUCCCUUGAAUUUUACUAAGUAAAUCCCGUCUUAGUAUUGGAUCGCGGAAUAAAUUCGUUGCGUUUUUACCGAAGACUUUUAUUUAAACAAAAGACAAUAAUUAUAUCAAUAAGUUAAUCAAUUAUAUAUUCGCCAUUGCCGUCUACAACCUCUUCCCACCUCUCGACCAAUUUGUUCCGCCAAAAAUCGCCAGUUCAGGUGUCAAAGAAGUUGUUCAGCCAGAUUCUAAGGACCUCCUUGUUAUCGAAGGUAACGCCCUUCAUAUGGUUUGACAGGAAGCGGAAAAUAUGUAAUCGUUUGGUGCAAUGUUCGGAGAAUACGGUGGAUGCUGAAUGACCUUCAAUUCGAAUUUUGACGACUUGUGCAACAUGGGCCUGGCGUAAUCGUGAAGGAGUAUGGUUUGACCACAUCGAUCAGGUAUUUUCUGUCGAAUAGCCUCAUUCACGUGGUGGAGCUGGGCAAUGUACAGCUCCUUGGCGACCGUGGUAUUUUUUUCGAGCAUUUCCCAGUGCAUCAUGACCAACCAACCCACAAUCCAAUCGACGAAAAAAACAUCGACCUAACAACGACCGUAACGCUGUUACCUAUUCACGAUGACGACGAUUAGGUAUCGACAUCUGGAUACAGCAUUAGUUUGUAUGAGGCAAACUAUUCUCUAUCAUAUUAGUCGGCCCGAAUCAGUUUAUAUUUGCUAAAAUUUGUAUGAAAUUUUUUUCUUUGCAUAUUUUUUUCUACUUAAAGUACGUUGUCAUGACCCUAAUUUGAAUUAUUUUCUAUAGACGUUCAGAUAUUCUCAAAAAAAACUUGUCAUUAUAAUAUAAAAUUAUCUCAAAACAUAUUUUUUAUGACGUUUUUUCACCACUUGCAGGCAAUAGUGAUUUUCACUUACAUAGAGUACUAAUUUUAUUAAGGAAAAAUCAUGUUCAUUCAUAAUUUUCAUUUUAAAAGUGUAUUCAUUCCUUCUGCAAAUCCAUAUCCAUGCCUAUUCCCUAAUCCAUGCCUAUUCCCCAAUAUCGUCAACGCGGAUAGUUCGUUAGUCGAAAAUACUGAAUAAUUAAACAAACCAAAUGGCAUCACUGGUGGUUCUUUUUUCCACUCCGCUAAACUGUCAUCUCAAACAAAAACAAAUGGAUCAUACAACUGCUAUGAAUACAUUCAACUCGUUUGCUUCCAUCAAUCGGUAAGUGAGAAAGAUGAUUUCUCCCAUCAUCACAGUACGGUUUUCCACUUCUAUCACAGCAGCCAACAACAUCCGUUUUCCUGCAGCAGUAACCUCCAACCCCUGUUGGCAAUGCCGGGGGACAGCAUUAACAGUAGCAGCAGCAGAAUUUGACCAUGGUAUGGUAUUGCGAAGAACUUUCCCCAUUAGAGGUUCCGUGCUUCGCGCACAUUCAAAAAUCCUCUUCAGACACGAAAACUCAACGACAAGGAGGUAUUUAUCAACUUGCUCAGCUGAAUUACCACCCGGAGGAACCCGAAUACACUGAUUCCGUUGUAUAGUAGAAUGAAAAUAGGCGAGGUAAGCGAACGUAAUCGCAUGAUAUUUUAAUGUUCGCAUUUUUAUCCGGAUCAUACAACUGCUAUGAAUACAUCCGACUCAAUCAAUCGGCGAGUGAGAAAGAUGAUUUCCCUCAUCACCACAUUGCUUAUUUCCACUUCUGUCACGCCAGCCAACAGCAUCAGCUUUCCCGCAGCAGUAUCCUUUAAGUCCAGGGUGCUAUUCCGGGGAACAGCAUCAACAGUAACAGCAGCAGGACCUGGCCAUCGAUAGUAUUUCGAGCAAUAUUCCCCAUCGGAGAUCCCGUGCUUCACGCACAUUGAAGAAUCCUCCUCAGCCACAUAUCUGUGUCAUCAAGGGCAAGGAGGUAUUCAUCAAUGUACUCAGUCGGAUUUGAAUCGUCAAUCCAGACAACCCGGAUGCACCGAUUCCAUUAUAUACCUUAUUUUUAUUAUACA